GACGAACGCUGGCGGCGUGCUUAACACAUGCAAGUCGAACGGAAAGGCCCUGCUUUUGUGGGGUGCUCGAGUGGCGAACGGGUGAGUAACACGUGAGUAACCUGCCCUUGACUUUGGGAUAACUUCAGGAAACUGGGGCUAAUACCGGAUAGGAGCUCCUGCUGCAUGGUGGGGGUUGGAAAGUUUCGGCGGUUGGGGAUGGACUCGCGGCUUAUCAGCUUGUUGGUGGGGUAGUGGCUUACCAAGGCUUUGACGGAUAGCCGGCCUGAGAGGGUGACCGGCCACAUUGGGACUGAGAUACGGCCCAGACUCCUACGGGAGGCAGCAGUGGGGAAUAUUGCACAAUGGGCGGAAGCCUGAUGCAGCAACGCCGCGUGCGGGAUGACGGCCUUCGGGUUGUAAACCGCUUUCGCCUGUGACGAAGCGUGAGUGACGGUAAUGGGUAAAGAAGCACCGGCUGACUACGUG
rnacentral:rRNA from 1 species